UACGGAGGGGGCCAGCGUUGUUCGGAAUCAUUGGGCGUAAAGGGCGCGUAGGCGGCCAAGCAAGUCGGAGGUGAAAUCCCUCGGCUCAACCGGGGAACUGCCUCCGAUACUGCUUGGCUCGAGUCCCGGAGAGGGUAGUGGAAUUCCCAGUGUAGCGGUGAAAUGCGUAGAUAUUGGGAGGAACACCGGUGGCGAAGGCGGCUACCUGGACGGGUACUGACGCUGAGGCGCGAAAGCGUGGGGAGCAAACAGG
rnacentral:rRNA from 1 species